rnacentral:rRNA from 1 species
GACGAACGCUGGCGGCGUGCUUAACACAUGCAAGUCGAACGAAGUGGCGAACGGGUGAGUAACGCGUAAUCAACCUGCCCUUCAGAGGGGGAAAACAGUCGGAAAAGACUGCUAAUAACGCAUAAUGAAGGCGUGGAAUGCGUCUGAUUAGCAAGUGGGAGGGGUACCGGCCCACCAAGGCGAUGAUCAGAAGCCGGUCUUAGUGGAUGAACGGCCACAUUGGGACUGAGACACGGCCCAGACUCCUACGGGAGGCAGCAGUGGGGAGUCUUCCGCAAUGUACGAAAGUCUGACGGAGCAACGCCGCGUGAGUGAUGACGGCCUUCGGGUUGUAAAGCUCUGUUAAUCGGGACGCGGUACCGGAAUAGAAAGCCACGGCUAACUACGUGCCAGCAGCCGCGGUAAUUC